AACGCGCAGAACCUUACCAGGGCUUAAAUGUAGUAUGACCGGUCUGGAAACAGGCCUUCCCUUCGGGGCAGAUUACAAGGUGCUGCA
rnacentral:rRNA from 1 species